rnacentral:rRNA from 1 species
UACGGGGGGGGCAAGCGUUGUUCGGAAUUACUGGGCGUAAAGGGCUCGUAGGUGGCCAACUAAGUCAGACGUGAAAUCCCUCGGCUUAACCGGGGAACUGCGUCUGAUACUGGAUAGCUAGAGUUCGGCAGAGGGAAGCGGAAUUUCGGGUGUAGCGGUGAAAUGCGUAGAUAUCCGAAGGAACAUCAGUGGCGAAAGCGGCUUCCUGGACCAGAACUGACGAUCAGGCACGAAAGCGUGGGGAGCAAACAGG